UAGAGUUAUUACAACUCCCAACCCUAUGUGAACAUACCUAUCGUUGCCUCGGCGGCGCGGUCCGGCCCUGCUACCCCGAAGCGCUUACCCUGUAGGCGCUACCCGGUGGCCAGGGUAGGCCCGCCCGCCGGCGGCCCACGAAACUCUGUUUUAGCAGUUCUUCUGAAUCAUAAACUUAAUAAGUUA
rnacentral:misc_RNA from 1 species